GCCGCUAAGAAGAAAUGUA
rnacentral:snRNA from 1 species